CAGUAACCUGUUCUUCUGCCUUGUCUCAAAUCCCUUCAAAGUCAACCAGAAACUGGUCGCUUUCCAUCCUGAAUCAUGUUUGAUUUAUUGCAUUAUAUUGAUUGAGUUUCCGCUUUGGAAAAAGUGUUACAUUUUCUAAAGAAUGUGUUAGCAUUAAUGACUUUAAUUCAUUCUCCGUAACUUUAUGACAGACACUAAUUUACAUUUCCUCUGGAGUACCUGAUAGCAAAAGAAGUUCUGGCAUUUUAAUUUUUUUUUCAUGUAUACCACCAGGCUGAGCAAGAGGGGUGAAUAUAAGAACACAGCAUUAGGCGAGUACCUGUUUCAAGGAGUCAAGUUUCCCCUCGUCCCCACCCUACUCUUCCCCACCCCUGACACUCAGCCCCAGUGCACAGUUGUAUAUCCUAGUUGUAUGUGGGACACUGCCCCAGCAUGGCUUGACGAAUGAUGCUUGGUCCAUGUCCAGGAUCCAAACUGGUGAUCUACAGGCCGCCGAAGCGGAGCGCAGGAACUUAACCACUACACUGUCAUGGCCGGCCCUGAGGAGUGUUUAGAGUUACAAUAAGUGGUGGAAAAGUGCUCAACCAGUAAGCCCUUUCACAGUCACGGCGCUGACUGGGAAAAACAUAUGCACCUGAGCCCAGAUGGGGCAAAAUCCAAGAUGUGAAAAAUCUGCUAUGAAGGUCCCUCUGCUCUCUCCCCCACAGCAGCCAUCACUGUUGCAAUCAGAACACCACGCCAAGGGGCGGCCUCUUGAUUUUCUUGGUGUGCACUAUGAGGUGCUAAAGGGGCUGGUGCUGUUGAUGCUCCACUCAGAUUCCAAGUAUCACUUUGACUGGCUUGUUGAGCACAUUCCCAAACUGCCACCUACAUUGCCGCUGCUGAUUCACACCUAUAACCUUCUUUGGAGAACUUUCCUUGGGCAUUUGUAGCUGCUUUGCUUGCUUUGCGGGCUACGGGACAGACCAGGGAACUCCCAGAUCCCCCAGCAGCUGCUCUGACUACGGAUCUCCUUGGUGCCUGAUGUCUGGAUCUAUCCGGAGAAAGAUUUACCACAGCUGCUCAAGGAACAUGGAGCCAGAAUAAGAAAUUUUCCACUUAGACUUAUGGGAACAGCAAACUCAUUCAGGCACAAUCGAAAGCAGACCAAUCAAAAUGAGGGAUGAAGAUUCAUCACACUUCACUCAGCUGUCAAUACGUUAUAUGACGAAAGAUGAAUUUUAAAAAGAAGCCAAGAAGACACAAAAAUACCAAGUCCCUGGAAUUGGAAAUGGACACUGCUGAUCAUUUUCCAGUUGAUAUCACCUCCACUCAAGAAUACGCCAGAUCAAUUUGGAAUCUUGUAAUCUCAAAUACAAUUUCCAGCAAAGCCUGGCUGCUCCUGGACAAGUGCCCACUCGUCUACCAAUCAAUCUUGACCAGGGGACAGACACGUCAUAUUAACAUGGCUGCUCCAAUGGUAACUAGGGGGGUGGCAGAGAAGGAAGUCUCCAGGAAGGAAGCAGAGCAGACUGAGCAGACAAAACUGGGUUUCUACUACAGCAUCUUAUUCAUCAUUGUAUUCCUGUCUUCUCUUAAGUAACACACACCUUACUAACACACUAAUGAACUUAGCUCUUAGAACUGUGAUACACCAAAUUUUUGAAUGAAGUAAUUUAACAUAUUUUUACAAAAAACCAUAAAAUUAUACACGAGUAAACUGAGAACCAGCGAAAAUAAGUGACUCCUUCAAUGACACACGAAUGAUUAGUAACCAAAGGAGAAUCCAGAUCUCUAGAAGAUUAGUCUUAGACUUUUAUUUAAAUGUUUAUUAAGUGUUUAUUUUGUACCAGGAAAUUUGCUAAUUGCCUUACCAACAUUAUCUCAAUUAAUC
rnacentral:lncRNA from 1 species